rnacentral:lncRNA from 1 species
CGAGGAAUGCUCCUAGGCUUGCUAACAGCCUUCCUGGAGCUGGAGGAGAGUGUCGAAGGCUUUUCAUCUUCGGACGACGAGCAACUUUGGUGCUCAAAAGCACAAGGGCCGCUUUUGGCUUUCAUAUAAGACUGACUUGAUGGAGUAUCAGUACUUCUACUUAAAGACCUUGCACACCUGAUCAAUCAUAUUAAUUAAGGAGAUCAUAUAUAAAUACGGUCUAGUUUAUCUAGACAAAAUAUUAAUGAGUUGUACAGUAAAAUCCAUCAAUGUUUUGUCUUGGUAAAUUAGACAGUAUUUGUCUAGUUACCCAGCAUUGCUAAAAGAAAUUAAGUGCUAACAAAAAUACAGUAGUAAUAAUAUUUAUUUAUUUAUGGGGAUUGAGUUUUGGUACUACAUAUAUGAGAAGUAGUCCCUCCGGUAAGGCACAUCCACAGGGGAAUUUGUUGGAGUUGUAGAUGGAUUCUCUGAGUUGCUGUUCAAAGGCUUUAUCUCAUCUCUAAU